CCGAUUAAUUUCCAAGUCUUGUGUUAUUCGAAAUACUCGGGCACCGAGCUUAAAGCUUAAAAUCCCAAUGAAACCGAUCUUGGAUACUAAUCUAUCCAUGUUGACCAUGGUAGUCUAUGCACAAUUUGAAACAAAAUAAAAAGAAAAAUCUACGUAGCUUCUUAAUCGCGUUUCUCUCGAAGCGUAACUCCCCACUUAACGCGACGUCGUCAUCACGAGGACCGUCACCGACCGAUUACGUUGCACGAUGACAGCGUGAACGUAACGAUCAUGUAUUCGGUACGCGGCAGCACUCGAGUUCCCACAAGAAAAACGGAGCUUUUGCAACGCGAGCGAAAUCGGCCGGUUAGUCGACUGGCUGGCUGUGUUGGCUGGUCGUUCAGCAGCUGCAGAAAAGCGUAUCGCGUUCUCCACGAGGUGUCUUGCUUUGCCGGGAUUUUAUCGCGUGGCCCCCUUCGUGGCGUUAUACCCUGUGCUCGCUCUGUUCGCUCUGGUGCACGCGCACGAGCCGCCGCUGCCCUCUCUGUCUUACUGUGAUCUAGGCUAACCGCGUUCGUCGUUCCUCGUAAGUAGGAGCAUAACCCCAUCGCUGUAACGUACCACGGUACCAUCGUCAUCUCGAGUAUCGCUACUGCCGUGCCACCAAUACGCUGCAGCGUGACAAGCACUUCCAACCACACGCUCCUUCCUUCGUUAUCGAGUAACGAAGCGUUCGAACAUCGAAUUUAAAGGUACAAAAUGAAAGGAGAAAACAGGAUUACUCUUCCGUAGCAAACUACAUGAGCUCGUUGCAACAUCCAUAACAAGCAGAGCAGGAUACGAGAGAGCUUCUGAGAGAUUCAGUAAUCAGUCGCAACAUUGUUGCCCGGUUUCGGGCAGAAAACCAGCGAGAAAGUACAGAAGAAGGAAUCGAGGCCACUUGUCGAAUGGAGAUCAACUUUUCGAUGGAAUUCGAAAUCCCAACUCGACCAGUGAGAGAAUCGUAUUGCCAGCAGCAUCUCUCCCGAUACGAUCGAAAGAUCGACCAGCCGUAAAAUCAAAUUAAUCGUACGAUCACGCGUGCCAACUACUCUCUGUGUACAUGCAAGUAUACGCGACCACAUGGGUGAUUCACGCUGGUGUGCGUCCGCGUGUGGGUGUGGUCCGUUGUGUUACGUGACCUCGUGGUUGUCGUAUGGCUGAAUAGGCUCGUCAAUGGCUCGUUUCAUUGAAUUAAAUAGGCCAUUCGUGCACGAGCAUAAUUACCGAACGGCAACAGAAAGAGAAAGAAAAGAAAUUUAUAUGAGAUCGUCUCUGAACUAAACGAACGAAACGAUUUCGAUUAUCCUGUUUUGGGAUGGAUUUUAAGGUCAAUACGCGUGUGAAAGAUACGCGGGUUGGAAUGUGGUAAAAAGGCGAAGGAAAUAAAUAUUCUGAAAAGUGGGUAAGAAAUCGUUCGCUUAGAGAUUCUGUUGAUCGACCGUAAUGAGGACUGCGAAAAGAGAAAAAGAAGAACUGCUGAUUACACGUUUCAACAUCGAUUGUUGCGUAAAGCGAGGCGUCUGUUGGCAAACCGGCGCGAUCGUGGAACCGUAUUGUUGUACGAGGCUGUUCUACAUUUUUGGAGAACGAAUUAGGUUACUGGUCGAUACUAUCACGUUCGAUCGCGAAUGAUUUUGUACUGUAUUUGAUAUUAGAACUAACCACAGCUAUGAUAUAUAUAUACAUGUAUAUAUAUUGUUUGAAAAUUUUUCGAUGAAAAUUGUGUAUAAUUUUUAGACAAAUUUCUCCGGCACGUUAUAUAAUUUUAGCAAGAAAAUUAAACGAGGGAAAUUCGCAGAAAGCGCGGAGCAAACGUUGAAACGACAUAACGAGCGGAUUACUCGAGCAAAAGUGCGAACAGCAAAUGUUUAAUGCUACCCAAGGCAUUUAAAUGGUUAAUCUCGCGCGCCGUUCCGGAAAUAUUUCUCACAAAAGGCGAGUUAACUCGUCGUCGUGUCCAAGCCCACGUUUAAAAGGUUAAACGUGUACACUGCACGAAUUCUGGAAAUUUCAUUGCUCGACGAUGAGAGAUGAUGAACUUAUUAUCCGUGUAAUUACCCAGAAAACAUAAAUCGUCGAAUCGCAAAGAGAAUCGUUACUCGCCGUAAAACCAACGAAGAACAAAUGAAAUAAAGACGUUUAUUACUUGCGAUAAUCUCUAUUUGCAGAUCGUAAAAAUUGUUAUGAAUUCUGUAUGAAUUUCCGUAGAUAUUUUUAUCUUGAUGUCCAAAACGAAAUUUUUUAUAUUUUAACAAAAUUCUCGUGAAACAAACAGAAAGAUAUACGACACGAACAAAUUCUGCACCGUAUAACCGUUUUCGUUCGUAAUCUGACUCCAUUAUCGUACUUGAUCUACGGAACCUGUAUGAGACCGGUAGGUGUCUCAUACAAUACUUAUGAUUAAGACAUCUAAUACUUCUGAAGAGGGGUGUACGCUUGCUCCAAAUCGCAAGUAGAAUGCGUUUGCGACGUCGUCGCCCCGCGAUAAGUGGACCGAGACCAAGUCCUGUCUCGUCACAGUGAGUCUUUUGUACAUGGCUCCACGAUCUGUCGGAUAACAAGUAGCCGUGUUUUUACAUAUUAAUCAUUAAUGACGAUCGUAAUUGUAGCCUGUUGAACCAUCGGUCGUCAUUCUAUCGAUGAAAUAGAGAACUGUAAUAGCGAAUAGUCGAGCACAACUGGUAAUUCUAUAAAUUUUGAAAAUCAUAUUUAUUUCACAAAUCUUAUAUUUGUUAUCGAUACUCGGUAGGAUUAGUAAUGAGAUUAAGAAUAGAUUACGUUUCCUCCGGUGAUAAUAAUAAUAACAAUAAACUGUAUACUCUGAUGUCUGCUUUGUCACAAUUCCAUAAAUAUCAUAGAGUCUAUAUAUUUAGAAUUUAUUGGAAUUAGGAACCUGAUUUUCUCCGAAAU